rnacentral:lncRNA from 1 species
AAUGACACAGUAAUUAUCUGGACCAGGAAGUUCAUGACCAAUCGACCACUCCAGAGGAAACAAAUGGUCACCAAUGUCCUUCACCCCGGAAAGGCAACAAAAUGUACAAGACCACAAUGGAUGUCAUCUUCAUAUUAAUAGUUGGACUCAGAACCCAUGUUGGUGGUGGUUAAACAAUGGGCUUUGGCAUGCUAUCUGGUUCUUUGAAUUAUGCAAACAAAAAUGAACUCAUAGACUUGCAAGACACAGCUGGCAUGAGAAGAUGACCUCAUGAAAACAGCAAAAGGAAUGCAAGGGCAGAAUGA